rnacentral:rRNA from 1 species
GGCCGGUGGCGCAGCUACCAUGCAAGUCGAGCGGUAGCACAGAGAGCUUGCUCUCGGGUGACGAGCGGCGGACGGGUGAGUAAUGUCUGGGAAACUGCCUGAUGGAGGGGGAUAACUACUGGAAACGGUAGCUAAUACCGCAUAAUGUCGCAAGACCAAAGUGGGGGACCUUCGGGCCUCAUGCCAUCGGAUGUGCCCAGAUGGGAUUAGCUAGUAGGUGGGGUAACGGCUCACCUAGGCGACGAUCCCUAGCUGGUCUGAGAGGAUGACCAGCCACACUGGAACUGAGACACGGUCCAGACUCCUACGGGAGGCAGCAGUGGGGAAUAUUGCACAAUGGGCGCAAGCCUGAUGCAGCCAUGCCGCGUGUGUGAAGAAGGCCUUCGGGUUGUAAAGCACUUUCAGCGGGGAGGAAGGCGGUGAGGUUAAUAACCUCAUCGAUUGACGUUACCCGCAGAAGAAGCACCGGCUAACUCCGUGCCAGCAGCCGCGGUAAUACGGAGGGUGCAAGCGUUAAUCGGAAUUACUGGGCGUAAAGCGCACGCAGGCGGUCUGUCAAGUCGGAUGUGAAAUCCCCGGGCUCAACCUGGGAACUGCAUUCGAAACUGGCAGGCUAGAGUCUUGUAGAGGGGGGUAGAAUUCCAGGUGUAGCGGUGAAAUGCGUAGAGAUCUGGAGGAAUACCGGUGGCGAAGGCGGCCCCCUGGACAAAGACUGACGCUCAGGUGCGAAAGCGUGGGGAGCAAACAGGAUUAGAUACCCUGGUAGUCCACGCCGUAAACGAUGUCGAUUUGGAGGUUGUGCCCUUGAGGCGUGGCUUCCGGAGCUAACGCGUUAAAUCGACCGCCUGGGGAGUACGGCCGCAAGGUUAAAACUCAAAUGAAUUGACGGGGGCCCGCACAAGCGGUGGAGCAUGUGGUUUAAUUCGAUGCAACGCGAAGAACCUUACCUGGUCUUGACAUCCACAGAACUUUCCAGAGAUGGAUUGGUGCCUUCGGGAACUGUGAGACAGGUGCUGCAUGGCUGUCGUCAGCUCGUGUUGUGAAAUGUUGGGUUAAGUCCCGCAACGAGCGCAACCCUUAUCCUUUGUUGCCAGCGGUUCGGCCGGGAACUCAAAGGAGACUGCCAGUGAUAAACUGGAGGAAGGUGGGGAUGACGUCAAGUCAUCAUGGCCCUUACGACCAGGGCUACACACGUGCUACAAUGGCAUAUACAAAGAGAAGCGACCUCGCGAGAGCAAGCGGACCUCAUAAAGUAUGUCGUAGUCCGGAUUGGAGUCUGCAACUCGACUCCAUGAAGUCGGAAUCGCUAGUAAUCGUAGAUCAGAAUGCUACGGUGAAUACGUUCCCGGGCCUUGUACACACCGCCCGUCACACCAUGGGAGUGGGUUGCAAAAGAAGUAGGUAGCUUAACCUUCGGGAGGGCGCUACCACUUUUGGAUCAGCGGC